AUACUCUGGUUUCUCUUCAGAUCGCAUAAAUCUUUCGCCUUUUACUAUAGAUUUCCGUGGAGAGGAACAAUUCUGAGUUUUGAACCAAUUUUUUGAGGUCUUGCUCUUUGCAAGACC
rnacentral:snRNA from 1 species